UGGGGAAUAUUGCACAAUGGGCGAAAGCCUGAUGCAGCGACGCCGCGUGAGUGAAGAAGGUCUUCAGAUCGUAAAACUCUGUCCUUGGUGACGAAAAAAAUGACGGUAGCCAAGGAGGAAGCCCCGGCUAACUACGUGCCAGCAGCCGCGGUAAUACGUAGGGGGCGAGCGUUGUCCGGAUUUACUGGGCGUAAAGGGUGAGUAGGCGGUUGUAUGUGUCAGAUGUAAAAGGCUAUGGCUUAACCAAGGUUAGCAUUUGAAACUGUACGACUUGAGUGCAGGAGAGGUAAGUGGAAUUCCUAGUGUAGCGGUGAAAUGCGUAGAUAUUAGGAGGAACACCAGUGGCGAAGGCGACUUACUGGACUGUAACUGACGCUGAGUCACGAAAGCGUGGGUAGCAAACAGGAUUAGAUACCCUGGUAGUCCACGCUGUAAACGAUGAGUGCUAGGUGUUGGCUAGCGAUAGUCAGUGCCGAAGUUAACACAAUAAGCACUCCGCCUGGGGAGUACGGUCGCAAGACUG
rnacentral:rRNA from 1 species